rnacentral:rRNA from 1 species
GGUAGCCGGCCUGAGAGGGUGNCCGGCCACACUGGGACUGAGAUACGGCCCAGACUCCUACGGGAGGCAGCAGUGGGGAAUAUUGCACAAUGGGCGCAAGCCUGAUGCAGCGACGCCGCGUGGGGGAUGACGGCCUUCGGGUUGUAAACCUCUUUCAAUAGGGACGAAGCGNAAGUGACGGUACCUNUAGAANAAGCACCGGCCAACUACGUGCCAGCAGCCGCGGUAAUACGUAGGGUGCGAGCGUUGUCCGGAAUUACUGGGCGUAAAGAGCUCGUAGGUGGUUUGUCGCGUUGNCCGUGAAAUUUCACAACUCAAUUGUGAGCGUGCGGGCGAUACGGGCAGACUGGAGUACUGCAGGGGA